rnacentral:rRNA from 1 species
CCUACGGGUGGCAGCAGUGAGGAAUAUUUUUCAAUUUCCUUCCUUCUGCCCCCGCCCCGUCGCGUGAAGGAAGAAGGAUCUAUGGUUUGUAAACUUCUUUUAUAGGGGAAUAAAGGUAUCCACGUGUGGAUAUUUGCAUGUACCCUAUGAAUAAGCAUCGGCUAACUCCGUGCCAGCAGCCGCGGUAAUACGGAGGAUGCGAGCGUUAUCCGGAUUUAUUGGGUUUAAAGGGUGCGUAGGUUGUUUUUUAAGUCAGCGGUGAAAGUUUGUGGCUCAACCAUAAAAUUGCCGUUGAAACUGGAAGACUUGAGUGUGUUUGAGGUAGGCGGAAUGCGUGGUGUAGCGGUGAAAUGCAUAGAUAUCACGCAGAACUCCGAUUGCGAAGGCAGCUUACUAAGCCAUAACUGACACUGAAGCACGAAAGCGUGGGGAUCAAACAGGAUUAGAUACCCUUGUAGUC